AUUUUCCCGUCCUAAAACCAGCAAUAAACAGGAUAAUUACAUCUCUCUUUACAGCAUCCCAUCAUGGAACCAGCCCCUGGCAGUGCUGACAUCGAUUUGCCCCAGAGUAUGGACUGGCUGUGAUAUCUCUGCUUGGAAAAUGGUUCUUCAGAGCUCAGCCACUAACAAGGUGCUUUCUUUGAUGUCAGCCAAAACUGUAGCCUCUUUAAAAAGAAUGAAAAUGUCUCUUAAAUGCUGCUGAAAUUCCGAGCUGCUGCAAUAUUUAUAAAUCCCGAAUUCACACGGCACUGGAGAAAAGUGCAGAGGGUUUCAGGAAUACCUCACCAAAAGCUGGCAUUCCUCAUAGAGAGCAAUCUUUUGGCUUCUGAGAGUGGAAUUGAUCAGAGAAGAAAAAAACCAAUGUUUUACCUGUCUGAAGUCAGAAAGGCCAUAAUUGCUUGAAAACAGGGGUGACAAAAAUGUCUCAGUUGCAAAGUCCAUGUUAUGGGGGUACUGCUGCCAUCCCAGCUGGGAGCAGGGAACUCUCACCAUGACCUCACUAGCUGCUGAUCCCUUUACUUGGUGCCCUUGGAAUGCAACAGGCUACACAACACAUUGGAAUCAUCACUAACUGGAAUAAAUAUCGCUCUGGAACUAUC